rnacentral:rRNA from 1 species
GACGAACGCUGGCGGUGUGCUUAACACAUGCAAGUGGUGCGACGAACCAGAGCUUGCUCUGGGGCAAAGCCGCGAACGGGUGUGUAACACGUGGGUAAUCUACCCCGAUGACCGGGACAACCCGAGGAAACUCGGGCUAAUACCGGAUGUGGUACGGAGACAUAAGUCUCUUUACUAAAGGUAGCUUCGGCUUCCGCAUUGGGAGGGGCCCGCGGCCCAUUAGCUAGUUGGUGGGGUCAAGGCCUACCAAGGCAACGAUGGGUAGCUGGUCUGAGAGGACGAUCAGCCACACUGGGACUGAGACACGGCCCAGACUCCUACGGGAGGCAGCAGUGGGGAAUCUUGCGCAAUGCGCGAAAGCGUGACGCAGCAAUACCGCGUGAGGGAAGACGGCCUUAGGGUUGUAAACCUCUUUCAGAUGGGACGAAGGUGAUGCGGUGAAUAGCCGAUGUCACUAACGGUACCGUCAGAAGAAGCUCGGCUAACUACGUGCCAGCAGCCGCGGUAAU